GAUGAAGAACGUAGCGAAAUGCGAUACUUGGUGUGAAUUGCAGAAUCCCGUGAACCAUCGAGUCUUUGAACGCAAGUUGCGCCCGAAGCCAUUAGGCCGAGGGCACGCCUGCCUGGGCGUCACACGUCGUUGCCCCCCCAUCUACUCCUUCGGGAUUGCGGGGGGCGGAUGAUGGCCUCCCGUGCGCCUCGUCGCGCGGUUGGCAUAAAUGCCAAGUCCUCGGCGACACACGCCACGACAAUCGGUGGUUGCGAAACCUCGGUUGCCCGUCGUGUGCGGUCGUCGCGCAUCGAGGGCUCGAAAAAAUUGUCGGGCUCCGGCUCGGCUUUCAACGCGACCCCAGGUCAGGCGGGGUUACCCGCUGAAUUUAAGCAUAUCAAUAAGCGGAGGA
rnacentral:misc_RNA from 1 species